rnacentral:lncRNA from 1 species
CAACAGCUCUAGAGGCUAUUAAGAAUGAAGAAUCCGAUGAAGAAUACAGAGAAAUAGAUUUAGAGGAUUUUAUAUUUGAUGAAGCUGCCUUAGAAGAAGAAUGGCUAGCAUUAGAUUCCACCCGCUUCCCUUCACAAACACUGCUUCUUUCAAACCAGCUGCAUUGGCCAAAGAUUCCUGGAAACUUAAAAUGGGAUGAUACUUCAUUUAAUUUACCAAGUAAUCCAGCUCAAGCAUGGUUAUGUAAUGACAAAGAAAAUUUGUCUUCUUCAGAACACACACAAUUUAAUAGCAGAUCAGAAAAUAAAACUUCUUCCUGGACACCUGAAUCAAAGACCAGUAGAAAGAGUUUGCUAAAAUCUGAAAAAGAAAAAAAAAUUUCAGAAGAAUGGGGCUUUAAGGAUAUUUCUACUGCUCAGCAAAUGUUGAAGAGGGCACAGAAAAUGAAAUCGAAGAAACUAAAGAAAAAAAUAGAUUCCACUGUGCGUCUAGCCUUAUUCAAAAACAAUGAAAAUAAAGUGUCUCUUCCAAAAUCACCAAAGAUGGUACAGCCCAGAAGAGAUGGUUACUUUGAAGGUAUAGAAGAAGACCCUAUCCACAAAGAUACCACUGCAAAUGAAAAAUUAGAACGGAAUAGAGAAUAUACAUACCAAUGGCUUCACACACAGGUUGGGGUUCAUGAAACGACUAGUUCCAGAAAUAUGAAAUGCAAUCACUUUUUGCCUGAGUUAGAUCCAGAUGUACUUAAUGGUGGAAGAGUUCAGCUUGUGGUAAGAAAUGUGCUUAAAGUUACAGAAAAAUGUUGUAGACACUAGUGCUCAAAUAAAUGGCACUUUAAGAUAUGUUUAUAAUUAAACUAUGAAAAUAUCACAACUGUAUCUAUUUGGGAUAAUAUCAAAAUAUCAUGUGUUAAAAUAAUAACAUGUUUUCUUGACUUGUAAUACAAUUUAAAAUGUGACAUUGCUUAAAAAUGUUAAUUUUAUGUGACAGAUGUAAAAAUAUUAGCAUCCUACAACUUUAAAAUAAAAUUACUGUGGAUGG